CACGUAGGGCGCGAGCGUUGUCCGGAAUUAUUGGGCGUAAAGAGCUCGUAGGCGGCCUGUUGCGUCCGCUGUGAAAGCCCGGGGCUUAACCCCGGGUCGGCAGUGGAUACGGGCAGGCUAGAGGUAGGUAGGGGAGAAUGGAAUUCCCGGUGUAGCGGUGAAAUGCGCAGAUAGUCGGGAGGAACACCGGUGGCGAAGGCGGUUCUCUGGGCAUUACCUGACGCUGAGGAGCGAAGUGUGGGGAGCGAACAGG
rnacentral:rRNA from 1 species